rnacentral:rRNA from 1 species
GAUGAACGCUAGCGAUAGGCUUAACACAUGCAAGUCGAGGGGCAGCAUGAUCUUAGCUUGCUAAGGUCGAUGGCGACCGGCGCACGGGUGCGUAACGCGUAUGCAACUUGCCUUACAGAGGGGGAUAACCCGUUGAAAGACGGACUAAAACCGCAUACACUUGUAUUAUUGCAUGAUAUUACAAGGAAAUAUUUAUAGCUGUAAGAUAGGCAUGCGUCCCAUUAGCUGGUUGGUGAGGUAACGGCUCACCAAGGCGACGAUGGGUAGGGGAACUGAGAGGUUUAUCCCCCACACUGGUACUGAGACACGGACCAGACUCCUACGGGAGGCAGCAGUGAGGAAUAUUGGUCAAUGGGCGAGAGCCUGAACCAGCCAAGUCGCGUGAAGGAAGACAGUCCUAAGGAUUGUAAACUUCCUUUAUACGGGAAUAAACGGG